AUUAACCUUAUUACUUACUUACAUAAGUGGACCGAUCAACUUUUUUAUAUCAUUGAGAAAGAUAAUAAAAAUCUAAUAAUUCUCUUCCUUCCAAUGUAUUAAUUCCUCUCCUUCAGAAAAAUGCAAAAUUUACGUAAUUUUUUUAGGGACAUCGUUAGUCAUUUUCAUAAUCAUUUUCAGUUACUUAGGGCCUGUACUAAAAUAUGAUAAGCACUUCAUCGUUUUAAGCUCAGAGAGAGUGGACCAAACUUUUUUUUUUAAACUUUUUCUAAAUUCUAGUUAGAUUGACUUUGUGGUUGAUUCAUUAUACCUUAUACCAUACCUGAUAAAAUAAAAAUGCAUAGUUUUUAAAGAUUUUGUAUUUUCUUGGACACGAGAUGACAUAAAAAAGUUGAUCGAUCCAAGUGCGUCCUGCAGUUUAAACAUUUUGGAGUUGCAGACGUCCAUAGGCUACGGAAACUGCUUAACAUCAGACGGGUAAGUACGUGGUAAGUACAGUCGAGGUCAUAAAUAUAAAUACUUUACAUAUCUGUUCUUUGGGUCACAAACAUAUGUGUAUCAAAUUUCAACUUAAUUAGUCCAAUAGUUACGGAGCAAAUAGGCUGUGCCAGAUGGACAGACAAACGCACGAGUGAUCCGAUAAGGGUUCAUUUUUCCUUUUGAGGUAUGGAACCCUAAAAAUGGUUGUGUAGAUAGGUAGGUGUGAGAUUCUCACUAAAAAGCCUAUUACAUCUACACUUGCUAUCGCCCAAUGUCAGGCCCGACGUCGGGCCCGAGUAAGAGUAGGUAUUUUUUCGUUUCACCAAAGAUCAGCACAUCUUUUACAAUAUAUGACAUAUAAAAAUUACUUUUUCUCUAAUUGCCUAAAAUGUCUAAUGUGUUAUAUUUUUGGUUCAUGAACCAUUUUUUUUUACAUUUCAAAUAUUGUAAACGAUGUGCUGAUAUUCCGUGAAACGGAAAACGAUUAUCAGGGCGGCUACCGGGAAAAUCGAAAUUCGUCAAUUGCGGGCAUUCUUUGUCACUCUAAUUACGUCUAAGUGAGAGUAAAAGAGAAAGAUCCCCGCAAUUUGCAAAUUUCGGUUUUCGCGGUAGGCCCCCAGGCCCGACAUGGACUGACUUCGGGCCAAAUAUCGGUAAGUGUGGAUGUAAUUGGCGCUUAAAGAUUCUCACUAAAGAUUUACCUACUGUUUAAUAAAAUAAAAAAAAUAUCCAUGUUAUAGAUAAGUCGCUGGUGGUAUGCGCCCCAACGGGCUCAGGCAAGACCGUGGUAUUCGAACUGGCAAUUCUACAGCUACUUAUGCAUAUGGAAGACACACAUAGUAAUGGAGACUUCAAGAUCAUCUACAUGGCACCAGUGAAAGCGGUAUGCAACGAACGCCUAACAGAGUGGUACCCGAAGCUUACGAAAUUAGGGCUCCUCUGCAUUGAAGUCACUGGUGACACGGAAGUAGACUUCUCGCAACUAAGCCCUUACAGGGUAAUAAUAACCACGCCAGAGAAAUGGGACAUGCUGACCCGCCGCUGGCGCGACCACCGCGGGUUGGUCGAGAUGAUCAAGUUAUUCCUGAUCGACGAAGUGCACAUACUGAACGAUGAGACCAGAGGACCCGUGUUGGAAGCGGUCGUUAGCAGGAUGAAGACGGUUGAGUCAGCAGCCCAGUCCGCGUACCGUAUAGAGCAACUUCAACAGCAGUAUCAAGGAGCUGAGCCUACUUGUAGCGCUCCUCCGAGCAUCAGAUUCGUUGCUGUCUCCGCCACAGUAAGCAAUCCUGAAGACGUAGCCGAUUGGCUCGCGACCAACGAGAAGCCUGCUGUAUUCCAUAAAUUUGGAGAUGAAUGCCGCCCAGUAAAGUUACAGCGAAUAGUGGAAGGCUACACAUGCGCUGAGGGCACCAGCAUGUUUAAAUUUGACCUCAUACUGAACUACAAAUUAUGGCCUAUCAUCCAGAAAUACUAUAACGGGAAACCGACUCUGAUAUUUUGCAACACCCGAAAGAGCGUUGCUCUCACUGCAGAAGCUUUGUCCAGAGAGGUGACUGUCAGUUUCAGCCCCGAACAGAAAGCGAAGCUCACAGCGCUGGCGUCUACCUUAAAAAAUAAGAAAUUACAGGUAAUAUCAAAUAGUUUUCUGUGUAUUCUAAUUAUAUUUUUAUGUUAUUAUAUGUUAUGUUGAGUAUGAUUUCUAGAUCGUACAUAAAGUAACUUACCUACUUGGAAGAUCAACUUGAGGAGUUGAGAGUGUAACGAGAUAGUACUCUAACUUGCAAAGGCGUUUUUUACCAUACAUGUAUUAAUUGCAAGCUGAACUACCUACUAAACUUGCAAUUUUUAUCAAAUGUUAUAUUACAACAACCUAUGUUUACCUCUAAAACUUGAUAUUUAAAUGAAUACAGCGGUGCUAAGACGGCCGUCCCUUUUAUCGUCUGUCACUAUGCUUCUCACGUUGUAACAAGUAUUUAAGUGCGAAAGUGAUGCCUGAUACGACAGGCGUUAAAUACGCGACCAUACUAUCGCCACAGGUCGUGAACGAGGGCUUAACUAAAUUAGGAUGUAAAGCUUUUAUUUCAAAGUAGUGAAAGUUUCUUCUGAGGCAAUUUAGGUUAGUAGGUAUAUAUCUAAGGAAGAUUAUGUCCAGAUGUCUGUCAUUUAACCUCCCUUAAUUCGUCAAAAAAAUAGGUAGGUAGAGAGUUCAUGCCUACUUAUCGCUUAAUAGUCGUAAUAAUUCUGGUUAUAUUCAUCAGUAUUUUAUUAAGCUGUCGUAUCAAACGUUUGAUACGCUAUGGUACUGAACAGUUCAACAUUAUGGUUUAACCGUAACCUUGUUUGCCAACUUAUUCAUGAUUUCAGAUGCUUGUAAUGAGCGGCGUGGGAUGCCAUCACGCAGGGCUGCUGUAUGAAGAGAGAAUUAACAUCGAGAGCGCCUUCCGCAACAGAGAUCUGCCCAUACUCAUCACUACCACAACUUUAGCAAUGGGCGUGAACUUACCUGCUCAUCUUGUAAUUGUGAAGAACACCCAGCAAUACGUGAAUGGAGCCUAUCAGGUCAGUAAUAUUUUUCAAGUCAAAUAAUUGGAAAAUAAACUACAAGCAUCAAAGUAAAAAAAGUUCAUCCAAUACAAUUUAUAUCCCUAAUAAGAAAAAAAUACAACAUUUUAAAUUUUGUAUCACUUUGAAUCACCAGCAUUUUCCGCAAAUAUCGAUAUCAUGGCCAUCUACAUUCUCAUAUCUAGCUUCGCCAAUGCUGUGGCCAUUUUAUAUGUUCUAUUUACAGACCUAAAAUUACAUUAAAAUUGGGUAUUCCCGUUUGUCCUCGCUCAACGUGACCAAGAUGAAAACGGAUGGGAUGAUUGGAAAUGCUCCUUACCUACUAUUCUUUUUUGUGUUCCUGGUAUAGCAGUUAUACAGGGUGACCUUAGCCAUUGGACAAACCCUGAAAUCCCACGUAGGGUUACUUCUCAGGAAUGCUCUGACGUUAAUAUUUUUUUAAUUAGAACAAAAGAAAAAAAUAAAAUUUUCGAACAAAAGUUAUUUGCAAUAAUUGACAACAAAAAGAAACAUACUGUGUUAAUCUUUGGCAGUGUUUUUGACAAUUUGUUCGAAAUAUUUGAUAUUGAUGCCAUUUUUCAAAAGUCAGAAGCUUAUUAGUGUCAUAAAUAAAAAAGAUAAUCAAAAACGUCGAAGAAGGUU